UGAGUAAUGUAUCGGAACGUGCCUAGUAGGCGGGGAUAACUACUCGAAAGAGUAGCUAAUACCGCAUACCGCCCGUACGGGGGAAAGGGGGGGAUCGCAAGACCUCUCACUAUUAGAGCGGCCGAUAUCGGAUUAGCUAGUUGGUGAGGUAAAGGCUCACCAAGGCGACGAUCCGUAGCUGGUUUGAGAGGACGACCAGCCACACUGGGACUGAGACACGGCCCAGACUCCUACGGGAGGCAGCAGUGGGGAAUUUUGGACAAUGGGGGAAACCCUGAUCCAGCCAUUCCGCGUGUGCGAUGAAGGCCUUCGGGUUGUAAAGCACUUUUGGCAGGAAAGAAAUCGCACCAAUUAAUACUUGGUGUGGAUGACGGUACCUGCAGAAUAAGCACCGGCUAACUACGUG
rnacentral:rRNA from 1 species